rnacentral:rRNA from 1 species
AUGUCGUCAUUGGGGACGUCCAAGGGGAUCCUCGAGAUCGCCAAGUUCGGGGUGUACGUCGCCGUCCCCGUUACCCUCACCUACCUCGUCGCCACCGACUCCAAGGCCAUCAAGAAGCUCAUGGGCCUCCGUCCUUAUGUGGUUUACCCUCCAGAAGGCCCACGACCACCACCGCCCGAAGAACUUCGUGAAAGGGCUCGGGAGAUAGCUCGCAGCAGAAGGCAAGAAUAA